UACGGAGGGUGCAAACGUUGCUCGGAAUCAUUGGGCGUAAAGCGCACGUAGGCGGCCUGUUAAGUCGGGUGUGAAAGCCCUGGGCUCAACCCAGGAAGUGCACUCGAAACUGGCGGGCUUGAAUAUGGAAGAGGGUCGCGGAAUUCCCGGUGUAGAGGUGAAAUUCGUAGAUAUCGGGAGGAACACCAGUGGCGAAGGCGGCGACCUGGGCCAAUAUUGACGCUGAGGUGCGAAAGCGUGGGGAGGCAAACAGG
rnacentral:rRNA from 1 species